rnacentral:ncRNA from 1 species
GCUACGUUCGGGAGGGAUAACCGCUGAAAGCAUCUAAGCGGGAAGCCUGCUUCGAGAUGAGGACUCCCACCCACUUGAUGGGGUAAGGCUCCCAGUAGACGACUGGGUUGAUAGGCCGGAUCUGGAAGCACGGUAACGUGUGGAGGUGACCGGUACUAAUAGGCCGA